UGAGCCGGCCGGGUGGCCGCGGCACGGUCCCGCUCCGGCGGGUCGGGUCGAGGAAGGUCGGGGCUCCGCAGAGCGACGACGCUGGCGAGAGCCAGGUGGGGGCGACCUCACGGAUCGGGCAACAGAGAACAGACCGCCGAUGGCCCUCCGGGGCACAGGCAAGGGUGAAACGGUGCGGUAAGAGCGCACCAGCGCCGGGGGUGACCCCGGUGGCUCGGCAACCCCCGUCGGGAGCAAGGCCGAAACGAGGACAGGGCUGCUCGCCCGCCCCACCCCGGUGGGACCCUCAGGUGGGCCGCACAGAUGGAUGGUCACCGAACCGGAUCCCCGCAAGGGCCCGGGGCACAGAACCCCGCCUACAGGCCGGCUCACCGU
rnacentral:RNase_P_RNA from 1 species